GAAAUGGAUAUGUGACGUUGAUAACUCAGUGAAGACGCAAUGCGAUGUUGCGGCUGAGAAGCGUCCGAAAAGUGCUCGGAGGACACGAAAGACGGAUACGUCUGGAAACCUGACCGCGCCCUGAUGGUGACUGAAAGGGCGAAUCCCUGUUGGGAGAAAGUAAAGGCGCUGUGCUAAAGUUAUCGCAAGCAAAGGCAUCCGUGGAGUGGCGGGAGCAAUAGAAGGUGGGCGUUAAAAGCGUGACCUGAAUCCUGAUAAGGCAUUAGCUGGUGACUGUUGCAGACUCAGGAAAGACCAACAAUCUCGUUUGCGGUGAUGUCGUGGAAACACGGCUAUAACACUCUACAGAAUCGGAGUAGCAGAAAUCGCAGUGACAAAAUGAUAUUAGAAGAAAAUGUUUUAUUGAAGAACAUCUUAUUCUGAAUAUCCUGUGAAACGUGCUCGUAAACAGUCGGGUGGCAGCUUGUGGAGAAAUCCAAGGGCAAGAAGUUAUAUGGGGACGCUCAUGUGGCUCAGACUUGUCUUCUGCGUGGCUGAAUAUGCUUGAAGGUAGCAGAGGUAAGACGAAGGUCUAUCAAUGAAACGUAUUCAUU
rnacentral:sRNA from 12 species